rnacentral:rRNA from 1 species
GACUUGUAUGAAUGGCUCCACGAGGGUUGAACUGUCUCCCUCCCCCAAUCAGUGAAACUGAUCUCCCCGUGAAGAAGCGGGGAUAAAAAUAUAAGACGAGAAGACCCCUUGGAGCUUCAAACAACCUGGCACCAUGCUUAAUAACUUUUUAACUUCGGAAUUNCCAUUAAAACAAGCACGCAUGACCACAAGUUUUUGGGUGGGGCGACCACGGAGAACAACUAAACCUGCGAGAUGUAUAGAGUAUUACCCUAAGCCAAAAGCCACCGCUUUAAGCAUCAACACCUUGACAUACAUUGACCCAUUUAUUGACCAACGAACCAAGUUACCCUGGGGAUAACAGCGCAAGUCAUUUCUAGAGNCCNUAUCGACAGAUGGGUUUACGACCUCGAUGUUGGAUCAGGGCAUCCGGGUGGUGNAGGCGCUACCGACGGUUCGUUUGUU